rnacentral:rRNA from 1 species
GACGAACGCUGGCGGCGGGCUUAACACAUGCAAGUCGAACGGAAAGGCCCUGCUUGCGUGGGGUGCUCGAGGGGCGAACGGGUGAGGAACACGUGAGUAACCUGCCCUACACUUUGGGAUAACUUCAGGAAACUGGGGCUAAUAUCGGAUAGGAGCUCCUGCUGCAUGGAGGGGGUUGGAAAGUUUGGGCGGGUGGGGAUGGACUCGCGGCUUAUCUGCUUGUUGGUGGGGUAGUGGCUUACCAAGGCUUUGACGGGUAGCCGGCAUGGGAGGGUGACCGGCCACAUUGGGACUGCGGUACGGCCCAGACUCCUACGGUAGGCAGCAGUGGGGAAUAUUGCACAAUGGGCGGGAGCCUGAUGCAGCAACGCCGCGUGCGGGAUGCCGGCCUUCGGGUUGUAAACCGCUUUCGCCUGUGACGAAGCGUGAGUGACGGUACUGGGUAAAGAAGCACCGGCUAACUACGUG